CUAAGGGAGAGCUGACUUGUCAGCUGUGCUGCCUGUGCCUGGAGCCACACACAUGCGGCCGUGCAAUUGGCCAGAUGAGCAAACUGUUUGGGCUGAAAAAUAUUUUUAUGCAUAUAUAUACAUAGCACAUAGUUACAGAAUGAAACAUCCAAUCAGAACAAGCCAAGAAGGAAAUACACAUCAACCUUCAGUUUUAUCCUGCCAUCUCUCCUUUGGAUAGCCAAACGCAUGUUCCAUGGUCACAGGCAGCUCAUGAGGUGAUAACUGAAAUAUUUCUCUUUAUGGGAUAGGAGAGCUGCUUCCUGAGUCAGGAAAGCAGAAUUUUGCCAAGCAGGACUGCCAAGUAGAUGUGAUGACCUUGUGAAUUCACUUGAGCUGAGGCUUCCCAGUAUCACUGGGAUCAAGGACCAUGCACCUUCCCAGCCCAGGCAACACCGAUGGGUGCGCAGUGGUAUGCAUGGCUCUGUUCUGCUCCAGUACAGCAAAUCGAAGUCCAUCCUCCUGCCCAGGAGGAAGGCAAAGGGGAUUAUCCAGACCUGGCGUAAGCAGAUGUCAGGACAACUUCAGGAUGAGAAAAACCACAUUCAAGGGACCUGCCUGUAAGAAAACACCCUGAGACAAAUGUAGGAAGACAAUGCACAAAAGGACCUUUACCAAACUGUCUCAGAUUUCCCAGUUAGGAACAAUUCUAGAUCCAUACUUGCCAAGAACAGGAGGAAAUUCAGGUACACUCCCAAACCCCAAGCCCAAAUUGUUUUGUGGGUUGGAAAUAUGGGUUUGUGGAUUAAACCUCCCUUUGUGCAGCUACAUAAGAUCCAGAAAAUGUUUGACUGCUAGCUAAGCCAAAAGAACAUGCUUUAUCUGUUGUAAUGACUGUCAGGGUGUGAUGGUGCUGGCAUUUUAAUGCUGUUUGGGUUCUGAGCGUGUACAAAGAGAGCUCAAGAUGUGCACAGCAGUAGCACUGUUUAUUGUAACAGUAGUGAGUAUAUUUAGUUUAUCACAAAAGAUGUAUUUUCAAUGGGUUUCUUCCGAGUUAAUAAAUGCUUUAAUUAACUCUAAUAGUUUAUUCUUUAUACAGUUAGACAAAUUAUAGCUACAUUUUCCAUUGACUUAACUGUACCUAAAAAGCAGAAAGCCACAUGAAGUACAUUUUGCAUAGUAGCAAAGCCUUGUUUUCUUCCAGCUCAAAAACAAGGAAUCAAAUAGCACAAUCUGAUGUAGAUUCGUACAAAAGCAAUCUUAAAAUAAAGCUUUGAGGCCUACGUUCUUAAAGAUACUGUGUGGUUGAAUUACAGAACGAUUUGGUUGCAGCUCUGUGCUAUGUUUCCUUUAGCAGUGAGGCUGGUUUAAGAAGUCCUGCUAUCCCCACCUCCUUCUCAGUCCUUCAUGCACCCUCAGCACAGGCAAAAACUGUUUGUUCAGCUGCACUGUGGAUGUCAUCACAGAAACGAUCUGGGUUGAAAAUAACCCCUAAUUAAAAAUAAUUGAAUAAUAUUGAUGAUCUAGGUUGGAAGACUGUCUCAAAACUGUUUUACCCAGAAUAGGGAGGGAAGGAGAAGAGGUGACUAUGACAAAGAAAUAAAAUGAGCUGGGAGGAGGCGGGGGGGGAGGGGAUCGUUACUGUUGUGAACUUCAAUAUUGCUGAAAAAAAAACACCCUAAACUUUGCAAAAUGGGUCAGUGAGAGCUGCAGCAGCACACAGGGCCAGGCUUGCAGUGCCUUGCAGAAACUGGGGGUAAGAUACUUUUAUAGCAUAUCAAUGUCAUGUAGUCAGUCUGCGACUGCAGUGCUACUUACUUCCCAAAAGUUUAACAGAGCAUAGAAAUAAAUACAAUACUGCAUACUAUUUUAGCUUUAAUUAGAGUUUUAAACUAUUACUUCUCAAAAUUGCCUUUUGUCAUACAGUUAGGGAAAAAACCUUCAGAAAUGCUGUAACAUAGUAGUUGGUGCUAUCACUUGUUUAGGUUUUUAUAUAGAUGGAGUGAAAAUAUCUGUUCAAAAUGUGUACUAUUAUGUAAAGAACUUAUUUUAUAGACUACUGAAUUUAUUCUGCCUCAGUAUUAUUAAUAAAGUAAGAAAAUA